UACAUGGGGUGCAAACGUUGCUCGGAAUUAUUGGGCGUAAAGCGCACGUAGGCGGUUUGUUAAGUCGGAUGUGAAAUCCCUCGGCUCAACUGAGGAAGUGCAUCCGAAACUGGCAGGCUUGAGUACUAAAGAGGGUCACGGAAUUCCCGGUGUAGAGGUGAAAUUCGUAGAUAUCGGGAGGAACACCGGUGGCGAAGGCGGCGACCUGGGUAGAUACUGACGCUGAGGUGCGAAAGCGUGGGGAGCAAACAGG
rnacentral:rRNA from 1 species